rnacentral:rRNA from 1 species
GAUCAUGGCUCAGGAUGAACGCUGGCGGCGUGCUUAACACAUGCAAGUCGAGCGAAGCACUUAGGAAAGAUUCUUCGGAUGAUUUCCUAAGUGACUGAGCGGCGGACGGGUGAGUAACGCGUGGGUAACCUGCCUCAUACAGGGGGAUAACAGUUAGAAAUGACUGCUAAUACCGCAUAAGGCCACAGCACCGCAUGGUGCAGGGUAAUAAACGUCGGUGU